GGCCAUGCCACGUUAAAACCCCGGUUCUCGUACGAUCACUGAAGUUAAGCAAUGUCGAUUGUGUUUAGUACAUGAAUUGGUGACCGCUUAGAAUACUACGUGCU